GACGAACGCUGGCGGCGUGCUUAACACAUGCAAGUCGAACGCGCCUGUCCUCUGGGUUUCUGGGGGGUGGGUGAGUGGCGAACGGGUGAGUAACACGUGAGUAACCUGCCCCCUUCUUCGGGAUAACGGUCUGAAAGGGCUGCUAAUACCGGGUAUUCACUGGUCUCCGCAUGGGGUCUGGUGGAAAGGUUUUUUUCUGGUGGGGGAUGGGCUCGCGGCCUAUCAGCUUGUUGGUGGGGUGAUGGCCCACCAAGGCUUUGACGGGUAGCCGGCCUGAGAGGGUGACCGGUCACAUUGGGACUGAGAUACGGCCCAGACUCCUACGGGAGGCAGCAGUGGGGAAUAUUGCACAAUGGGCGCAAGCCUGAUGCAGCGACGCCGCGUGAGGGAUGGAGGCCUUCGGGUUGUGAACCUCUUUCGCCCGUGGUCAAGCCGCGACGUGGGUCGUGGUGAGGGUAGUGGGUAAAGAAGCGCCGGCUAACUACGUG
rnacentral:rRNA from 1 species